rnacentral:rRNA from 1 species
UUGGCUCAGGAUGAACGCUGGCGGCGUGCUUAACACAUGCAAGUCGAACGGAAACGUAUUGAAACCUAGUGAUAUACGUUUUAGUGGCGGACGGGUGAGUAACGCGUGGGUAACCUGCCGUAUUCUGGGGGACAACAGUUGGAAACGACUGCUAAUACCGCAUAAGACCACAGAGUCGCAUGACUCAGGGGUAAAAACUCCGGUGGAAUACGAUGGACCCGCGUCUGAUUAGCUAGUUGGUGAGGUAACGGCCCACCAAGGCGACGAUCAGUAGCCGGCCUGAGAGGGUGAACGGCCACAUUGGGACUGAGACACGGCCCAAACUCCUACGGGAGGCAGCAGUGGGGAAUA